AAAGUACGAACACUAAACUGGUUCCAACAGGGAAACGUGAAACUAAGGAGCAAGUUUGCCUUAUGAAUACACAGUAAGAUGAUCUGUCACAAGGGAGGGACGGAGAAAGGGGGAGAGAAACAUGGAUGGAUCGUUGGCCUCUCGCUCGCCCCCAACUGGAGGCCAGGACUGCAGUCCUGGAGCGUGCUCUGACCUGAAUCGACCCGUCGACCUUUUGCUUUGCCGGAUGGCACUCAACCACGUGAGCCAAGCAUAUCUGGCCAGAAAAGCAGCAAAACCAGACAAGCCACACCAAGACUGACAUCAGGCCCAGCACUACUGACCAGUGACCCCUGGCCUGGCGCUGACCAAUCAAUGGAGAACACGACUCUGAAAGUGCCCACCUGGAGAGCUGAUGAAUUUUCUCUUGAGAUCUUCUCAUGGCACCUCCCAGAAAUUCUCCAUCCCUGAAAGCUCUUAGGACUGAGGACCCAACACCCCGUCAAAAAAACACUGUAAGGCUUGGUUUCAUGAUUUUGGUUAAUCAGGUGGAUCCUGUGGACACUCCCUUAGGACUUUUUUAAUCCUUUGUCUU